GAUGAACGCUGGCGGCGUGCCUAAUACAUGCAAGUCGAGCGAACAGACGAGGAGCUUGCUCCUUUGACGUUAGCGGCGGACGGGUGAGUAACACGUAGGUAACCUACCUAUAAGACUGGGAUAACUUCGGGAAACCGGAGCUAAUACCGGAUAAUAUUUCGAACCGCAUGGUUCGAUAGUGAAAGAUGGCUUUGCUAUCACUUAUAGAUGGACCUGCGCCGUAUUAGCUAGUUGGUAAGGUAACGGCUUACCAAGGCAACGAUACGUAGCCGACCUGAGAGGGUGAUCGGCCACACUGGAACUGAGACACGGUCCAGACUCCUACGGGAGGCAGCAGUAGGGAAUCUUCCGCAAUGGGCGAAAGCCUGACGGAACAACGCCGCGUGAGUGAUGAAGGUCUUCGGAUCGUAAAACUCUGUUAUUAGGGAAGAACAGACGUGUAAGUAACUGUGCACGUCUUGACGGUACCUAAUCAGAAAGCCACGGCUAACUACGUG
rnacentral:rRNA from 1 species